rnacentral:rRNA from 1 species
UUAAGCGACUAAGCGUACACGGUGGAUGCCCUGGCAGUCAGAGGCGAUGAAGGACGUGCUAAUCUGCGAAAAGCGUCGGUAAGGUGAUAUGAACCGUUAUAGCCGGCGAUGUCCGAAUGGGGAAACCCAGUGCAAUUCGUUGCACUAUCGUUAACUGAAUACAUAGGUUAACGAGGCGAACCGGGGGAACUGAAACAUCUAAGUACCCCGAGGAAAAGAAAUCAACCGAGAUUCCCCCAGUAGCGGCGAGCGAACGGGGAGCAGCCCAGAGUCUGAAUCAGCUUGUGUGUUAGUGGAACGGUCUGGAAAGUCCGACGGUACAGGGUGAUAGUCCCGUACACCAAAAUGCACAGGCUGUGAACUCGAAGAGUAGGGCGGGACACGUGGUAUCCUGUCUGAAUAUGGGGGGACCAUCCUCCAAGGCUAAAUACUCCUGACUGACCGAUAGUGAACCAGUACCGUGAGGGAAAGGCGAAAAGAACCCCGGCGAGGGGAGUGAAAAAGAACCUGAAACCGUGUACGUACAAGCAGUGGGAGCACCUUCGGGUGUGACUGCGUACCUUUUGUAUAAUGGGUCAGCGACUUAUAUUCUGUAGCAAGGUUAACCGUAUAGGGGAGCCGCAGGGAAACCGAGUCUUAACUGGGCGUUAAGUUGCAGGGUAUAGACCCGAAACCCGGUGAUCUAGCCAUGGGCAGGUUGAAGGUUGGGUAACACUAACUGGAGGACCGAACCGACUAAUGUUGAAAAAUUAGCGGAUGACUUGUGGCUGGGGGUGAAAGGCCAAUCAAACCGGGAGAUAGCUGGUUCUCCCCGAAAGCUAUUUAGGUAGCGCCUCGUGAACUCAUCUUCGGGGGUAGAGCACUGUUUCGGCUAGGGGGUCAUCCCGACUUACCAACCCGAUGCAAACUACGAAUACCGAAGAAUGUUAUCACGGGAGACACACGGCGGGUGCUAACGUCCGUCGUGAAGAGGGAAACAACCCAGACCGCCAGCUAAGGUCCCAAAGUCAUGGUUAAGUGGGAAACGAUGUGGGAAGGCACAGACAGCCAGGAUGUUGGCUUAGAAGCAGCCAUCAUUUAAAGAAAGCGUAAUAGCUCACUGGUCGAGUCGGCCUGCGCGGAAGAUGUAACGGGGCUAAACCAUGCACCGAAGCUGCGGCAGCGACACUAUGUGUUGUUGGGUAGGGGAGCGUUCUGUAAGCCUGCGAAGGUGUGCUGUGAGGCAUGCUGGAGGUAUCAGAAGUGCGAAUGCUGACAUAAGUAACGAUAAAGCGGGUGAAAAGCCCGCUCGCCGGAAGACCAAGGGUUCCUGUCCAACGUUAAUCGGGGCAGGGUGAGUCGACCCCUAAGGCGAGGCCGAAAGGCGUAGUCGAUGGGAAACAGGUUAAUAUUCCUGUACUUGGUGUUACUGCGAAGGGGGGACGGAGAAGGCUAUGUUAGCCGGGCGACGGUUGUCCCGGUUUAAGCAUGUAGGCUGGUUGUCCAGGCAAAUCCGGAUAAUCAAGGCUGAGGUGUGAUGACGAGGCACUACGGUGCUGAAGUAACAAAUGCCCUGCUUCCAGGAAAAGCCUCUAAGCAUCAGGUAACAUUAAAUCGUACCCCAAACCGACACAGGUGGUCAGGUAGAGAAUACCAAGGCGCUUGAGAGAACUCGGGUGAAGGAACUAGGCAAAAUGGUGCCGUAACUUCGGGAGAAGGCACGCUGGUGUGUAGGUGAAGUCCCUGCGGAUGGAGCUGAGACCAGUCGAAGAUACCAGCUGGCUGCAACUGUUUAUUAAAAACACAGCACUGUGCAAACACGAAAGUGGACGUAUACGGUGUGACGCCUGCCCGGUGCCGGAAGGUUAAUUGAUGGGGUUAUCCGUAAGGAGAAGCUCUUGAUCGAAGCCCCGGUAAACGGCGGCCGUAACUAUAACGGUCCUAAGGUAGCGAAAUUCCUUGUCGGGUAAGUUCCGACCUGCACGAAUGGCGUAAUGAUGGCCAGGCUGUCUCCACCCGAGACUCAGUGAAAUUGAACUCGCUGUGAAGAUGCAGUGUACCCGCGGCAAGACGGAAAGACCCCGUGAACCUUUACUAUAGCUUGACACUGAACAUUGAGCCUUGAUGUGUAGGAUAGGUGGGAGGCUUUGAAGCGUGGACGCCAGUCUGCGUGGAGCCAACCUUGAAAUACCACCCUUUAAUGUUUGAUGUUCUAACGUUGGCCCCUGACCGGGGUUGCGGACAGUGUCUGGUGGGUAGUUUGACUGGGGCGGUCUCCUCCCAAAGCGUAACGGAGGAGCACGAAGGUUAGCUAAUCCUGGUCGGACAUCAGGAGGUUAGUGCAAUGGCAUAAGCUAGCUUGACUGCGAGCGUGACGGCGCGAGCAGGUGCGAAAGCAGGUCAUAGUGAUCCGGUGGUUCUGAAUGGAAGGGCCAUCGCUCAACGGAUAAAAGGUACUCCGGGGAUAACAGGCUGAUACCGCCCAAGAGUUCAUAUCGACGGCGGUGUUUGGCACCUCGAUGUCGGCUCAUCACAUCCUGGGGCUGAAGUAGGUCCCAAGGGUAUGGCUGUUCGCCAUUUAAAGUGGUACGCGAGCUGGGUUUAGAACGUCGUGAGACAGUUCGGUCCCUAUCUGCCGUGGGCGCUGGAGAAUUGAGGGGGGCUGCUCCUAGUACGAGAGGACCGGAGUGGACGCAUCACUGGUGUUCGGGUUGUCAUGCCAAUGGCACUGCCCGGUAGCUAAAUGCGGAAGAGAUAAGUGCUGAAAGCAUCUAAGCACGAAACUUGCCCCGAGAUGAGUUCUCCCUGAGACUUUAAGUCUCCUGAAGGAACGUUGAAGACGACGACGUUGAUAGGCCGGGUGUGUAAGCGCAGCGAUGCGUUGAGCUAACCGGUACUAAUGAACCGUGAGGCUUAACCUU